CAACCAUUAUUUCCCCAAACCUCCACCAAUGUUGACCCAAAACUUCCAUGGUCUUGGCCAAUAUCUCGACCGCUUUUUCCCUGGAAAAAGCUGAUGGAGUCCGGAGGGGGCCUCCAGACACCCGGGGGGUCCCUCACCCUCUGCUGCAAGGCCUCCGGCUUCACCUUCAGCAGCUUCGCCAUGGACUGGGUGCGACAGGCCCCCGGGAAGGGGCUGGAGUGGGUCGCAGGUAUUAGCUAUGGUGGUGGUACCACAAGCUACGCGCUGUUGGUGCAGGGGCGCUUCACCAUCUCCAAGGACGACUCCCAGAGCACGCUCACGCUGCAGAUGAACAGCCUCCGGGACGACGACACGGCCACCUACUACUGCGCGAAAUGUUAUGCUGGUGGUGGUGGCACCAACCCCUUCUCCAUGGAACAACAUCCCUGUGCUGUGUCCCCAAAUCAACCCUUCUUGGCCCGAAUCUGA